GUUUGGAAGAGUAUUGUGUAAAUAGUUGUAUAAAAUUUGAUAUUGCAUGUAUUGUGAUUUCUGUGGUGUAUAUCGUUGAUGUAAUUUUUGUUCUGCGGUUUUAUGUUGUCCUCUUUUAUAUUAUUUGUUCCUGUUUGAUGAAUGUUACUGCCUGUUUUUUUUUUCUUUAAUUUAUUUCUGUUAUGUCAUGUCAUUUUAACAAUAUUUUUGAACAUCGUCAUAGAGCAGGAUGUUUAGCUAGUCAUUAAAUCUUAUAAGGUUCAACCCACCAUUUUUCUUAACAUGUUCUGUACCAAGUCAGGAAUAUGGCAGUUGUUAUCA
rnacentral:lncRNA from 1 species